ensembl:lncRNA
UCGCCAUUUCCUCCACUAGGGAAUCUUCCUGAUCCAGGGGUGGAAACUGUGUCUCUUGCAUUGGCAGGUGGAUUCUUAACCACUGUGCCACCUGGGAAGCCCUUGGGAUGUUUAGGAACUGCUAGACUAUAGGCAGCUGAAGCCUGGUGAGUAAGACAGAAAUUGGCAGGAGCCAGAUUAGGCAGGGCCUUGAAACCAUUGUCUUAGGGAGCAAAAUUUGUUCUUGACACAGUGGGAGCUGUUAAAGGGUUUCAAGCUGUCAAGGAAUUUAGGCUAAUGUUAAGUGGCAACAGUGGAAGUAGAAAGACUUCGUUCAACUAUAUUGCAAGAUAAGAAUUAAGAAAAAAAGACUCUUGGCACUAUGAGGCUUUUGCAGUGGUUCAGGCGAGAGCGGUGGCAAAGGUGAGUGCAAGACUGGACUGGCUGACGGACUGGAUGUGAGGACAAGGUGGUCAGGGAAAGAGGAACUAAGGAUGACUUCUCGGUGAAUGGUCAACAGUGGAGAGGAAGAGGCUUGUGGGAAAAUGGGGUUCUGUUUUGUUGUCUCACCCAUGAAACUGAAGAACAGAUGGCGAAUGGGUAAUGAGCUUUGAGUUCAGAGGAUAGGACCAGACGAGCUAGACAUGUAGGAGUCGUGCCCUUGUCCUGAACGCUGAGAAAUGGGUGAGAUUCAUGGCCACAGUAGGGGUUUUGGCCUCUGAAUGGGGCCCUUCCUCCAUAAUAAACAGGAAGGAAGGAGAAGACAGCACCAUCGCAGGUGUGUCUGUGGAUUUGGCAGGGAGACAAGGGUGAAAGAGUAUGUAGCUGGUGGCUCAGUAGACACACAAGGGAACUCCCAUAAGUUGAUGAGUGCCCUUUAGAGGUGCAUGCUGGUGUGUUAUGCUGUAACCACGUGGCCACUGGGUGAGUUGUACUGAGUGUGACUUGGUGUAGACAAGUGGAUUCUUUGGUAUGAGCAGAAUAGGUUUAUCAGGGAGUUCAACUGAAGAUGUUUGCGAGAGAGGGUGAUUAUAGCAGUGGCCCCUUGACCCCUCCAGGUGCAUAAGUGAAAGUGAAAGUCGCUCAUCCAUGGGGUUGCUAAGAGUCAGACACGACUGAGCAACUUCACUUUCACUUUUCACUUUCAUGCAUUG